rnacentral:rRNA from 1 species
AGCGAACGCUGGCGGCAGGCUUAACACAUGCAAGUCGAGCGGGCGUAGCAAUACGUCAGCGGCAGACGGGUGAGUAACGCGUGGGAACAUACCUUUUGGUUCGGAACAACACAGGGAAACUUGUGCUAAUACCGGAUAAGCCCUUACGGGGAAAGAUUUAUCGCCGAAAGAUUGGCCCGCGUCUGAUUAGCUAGUUGGUGAGGUAACGGCUCACCAAGGCGACGAUCAGUAGCUGGCUGAGAGGAUGAUCAGCCACAUUGGGACUGAGACACGGCCCAAACUCCUACGGGAGGCAGCAGUGGGGAAUAUUGGACAAUGGGCGCAAGCCUGAUCCAGCCAUGCCGCGUGAGUGAUGAAGGCCCCAGGGUUGUAAAGCUCUUUUGUGCGGGAAGAUAAUGACGGUA